rnacentral:misc_RNA from 1 species
AACGCACAUUGCGCCCUUUGGUAUUCCGAAGGGCAUGCCUGUUCGAGCGUCAUUAUCAACCCUCAAACCCUCGUUUGGUUUGGCUUUGGACGGCGUGGUCGGUUCGACCACCCCUCCUAAAGACAAUGACGGCGGCCUCGUGGACCCCCGGUACACUGAGCUUCUUAACUGAGCACGUAUCGGAUCUAGGGUACCCGAGACCCGGUCUCCCUCCCCCUCGUGGGAGAAAUCUUCUCAAAAGGUUGACCUCGGAUCAGGUAGGAAUACCCGCUGAACUUAA